CAGUAGCCGCGGUAAUACGGAGGGUGCGAGCGUUAAUCGGAAUUACUGGGCGUAAAGCGUGAGCAGGCGGUUAUAUAAGACAGAUGUGAAAUCCCCGGGCUCAACCUGGGAACUGCAUUUGUGACUGUAUAGCUAGAGUACGGCAGAGGGGGAUGGAAUUCCGAGUGUAGCAGUGAAAUGCGUAGAUAUGCGGAGGAACACCGAUGGCGAAGGCAAUCCCCUGGGCCUGUACUGACGCUCAUGCACGAAAGCGUGGGGAGCAAACAGGAUUAGAGACCCCUGUAGUCCCUGUCUCUUAUAA
rnacentral:rRNA from 1 species